rnacentral:lncRNA from 1 species
AACUGAUCCUAGAUCUUGUCAAGGUGACCGAUGCUGACCAUCGCAGGUGCUGAAUGUGACCACAGUCACACCAUCUCCUAUACAGAAAAGACAACUUCGCUCUCAACUGGGCUGAAUGUCAAGUCCAAGAAUAAAACGAGACUCUGAUCAGAGGGUAACAUGACCUGGAGCAGCUGGGAAAUGGAGUCCUUUUUGGGUCAGGACAGGCUGUUUGGCAGUGUGGUUGAGAAGGCUGUAAAGAGGUCAGAGCCAUCUGGGGAUUAGGGCUGUUCUGGGAAAGCUAGCUCUGGUGGCCAGAGGCCCAGCAGGCCUGAGCUGGACCACCCUUCCACUGGCUUCUGUUGUCUAGUAUGUCCCAGGCCCAACCUGUUUGACAUACCUGAUGUAGUUCAGUGGAUGCCACGGCACUGCAAAACUUGAGCCAGCUCUGUCUCCUUCCUGUCCACUCACCUUCAAGAACGUAAUGAGUUUGUCUCCGUUAAAAUGUUUUAUGGAAGCCCAGUGAUGGUAUCACUGAGGGAAUAAAUCCUCAACUAAUAGAAGUUGAGUGCAAUGUAAAAUAGCAAUUAAUCUCCGUUGUGGAGAAUAAGAAAAAUGAACAAGCCAUUGAUGAAACAUUUAUUAGCAAGAGAGACUGGACAGAUGCCCUGUUCUAAAUGGUGCCUGCUUGGGUUUUCUUGGUUGUGGUUUUGUUGUUGUUGUUGUUUUGUUGUUUUUGCGUUUUGCCCCCUACUUUGUGUGUAUGUGUAUGUUGUGUGUGUGUCUAUUUGGGUAUUAUUCCUCAGAAGCCAUCCUGCUUAUUUGUUUGAGACAGGAUCUAGACCAGAUGUGCUAUAUCAAAUGUGGUGUUCAUGGGCAGGAAAUCUGUCAGGAUAUAUGCUUGCGCCUGAUUGGGCCUGAUGGGAAAUGAGGUGAAUUUGGGUUGUGCCUUUUUAAGCCCCUGCAAAAUAUUACUCAUGUCCAUUUUCUGGGAACCUGUGGGACCAUGAGAGGGAGCCUGUUUUCUGGUCGAGCUAGGUUCAAACCCCAGAGACCCAACAGAUUAAUCUGUAAGGGACAGAAGGCCCGUUUGCCAUGCUCCCAGACAUAGGCUCUUGACAGGAGGACCCAGCUCCAUAAUUCUGUGGCCAUCAGUGUCAUAGGCUGUCCAGACCAGACUCCACCCCCACAGUUACCUGGCAAUAGCCAGGUAUGCUCCCCACCACAGUUACCUGGCAACACCUGGUAGGCCUGGCCCACUAUAAAGGGAACUGCUUGGCCCCUCCUCACUCGCUUGCCUCUCUUGCUUUCUCUCUAGCCCUCUUGCUCCCUCUUCCCUCCCGUUCUCCUUCUCUCCACAUGGCCAUGGCCGCCCUCUGUUUCUCUACUCUUCUCUUUCUCUCUGCCUUUCUACAAUAAACACCUUGAAACC